rnacentral:rRNA from 1 species
GAUGAACGCUGGCGGCGUGCCUAACACAUGCAAGUCGAGCGAACCCUUCGGGGUGAGCGGCGGACGGGUGAGUAACGCGUGGGUAACCUGCCCUGUACACACGGAUAACAUACCGAAAGGUAUGCUAAUACGAGAUAACAUGUAAUGAUCGCAUGGUCGAUACAUCAAAGCUCCGGCGGUACAGGAUGGACCCGCGUCUGAUUAGCUAGUUGGUGAGGUAAUGGCUCACCAAGGCGACGAUCAGUAGCCGACCUGAGAGGGUGAUCGGCCACAUUGGAACUGAGACACGGUCCAAACUCCUACGGGAGGCAGCAGUGGGGAAUAUUGCACAAUGGGCGAAAGCCUGAUGCAGCAACGCUGCGUGAGCGAUGAAGGCCUUCGGGUCGUAAAGCUCUGUCCUCAAGGAAGAUAAUGACGGUACUUGAGGAGGAAGCCCCGGCUAACUAC